GUGGGGAAUAUUGGACAAUGGGCGCAAGCCUGAUCCAGCCAUGCCGCGUGAGUGAUGAAGGCCCUAGGGUUGUAAAGCUCUUUCACCGGAGAAGAUAAUGACGGUAUCCGGAGAAGAAGCCCCGGCUAACUUCGUGCCAGCAGCCGCGGUAAUACGAAGGGGGCUAGCGUUGUUCGGAAUUACUGGGCGUAAAGCGCACGUAGGCGGAUAUUUAAGUCAGGGGUGAAAUCCCGGAGCUCAACUCCGGAACUGCCUUUGAUACUGGGUAUCUCGAGUAUGGAAGAGGUGAGUGGAAUUCCGAGUGUAGAGGUGAAAUUCGUAGAUAUUCGGAGGAACACCAGUGGCGAAGGCGGCUCACUGGUCCAUUACUGACGCUGAGGUGCGAAAGCGUGGGGAGCAAACAGGAUUAGAAACCCCUGUAGUCC
rnacentral:rRNA from 1 species